rnacentral:rRNA from 1 species
CAGCCGCCACGGUAAUACGAGGGGGGCAAGCGUUGUUCGGAAUUAUUGGGCGUAAAGGGUGCGUAGGCGGUUCAGCAAGUCUCGUGUGAAAUCUUCGGGCUCAACCCGAAGUCUGCACGGGAAACUACUGGGCUUGAGUAAUGGAGAGGUGAGUGGAAUUUCCGGUGUAGCGGUGAAAUGCGUAGAUAUCGGAAGGAACACCUGUGGCGAAAGCGGCUCACUGGACAUUUACUGACGCUGAUGCACGAAAGCUAGGGGAGCAAACAGGAUUAGAUACCCGCGUAGUCCCUGUCUCUUAUAC